CAGACCCUGUCUCAAAAAAAAAAGAAAAAGAGAAAAAAAAUAAAUAAAUAAAUAAAAGUUCACACUAGACCAUUUUUCUGUGACAACCCAGGUAGCUCUAAAGUGAGGGCUGAAGAAGCUGUGGCAGAAUGUGUGUCAUGCCCCUUGACCAUACAAGAUCCACUGUCCCAUAACCACCAGCUCUGCACCAACCACCACAGAAGUCUCAAAACCAACUGUGGCAUCAUAGAGACAUGCCCUACCAUGUCCCAGCUACAGAACACAGUCAGACGAGAUCAGGCACGUUCAGGGUAGUAUGGCCAUAGACUGCAGGACACGAUCAACUUCUUACCUUCCCUAAUUUGCCCACCCCAGAUUUUCUGGCACAUUCCACCUGGCUUAGGCACUGACAAUGACAAGGUUUCUCCUCAGUGCGUGUCACGUGUGCUGCUGCAGGGCUGGUUUCGUAGCCUUGCCUCCAAGGCCAGCACUUAGUGCUUCGUGGAACAGAACCCACCCUGCAGAACUCCAGCCUUGUGGUAUACGGGAAGCCGCUAUAUCAGAGAGGCGGCACCGGCCAUGGAGCCGACUCGCUUCAUGUCACUCCCAGAAUGCAAGGUGUACUGAACUCCCAAGAAACUGUCCUGACAGCACCGAAGAGUUCCUCCUUUGCUGAGCUGUGCAGCCAUGAACCACAUGUUCUGCGUGUCAACAUCAGAACCACGUUUUCAGGUGACACUGGCAGUUGUCACCAUGAACAAGAUGUCUGGAUGCUGGUCACCACGCCACAGGUCUGUUCUCUCGUCCAGGUUGCUAACCUGCUCUGCUGCCCAGCAGCCAGUGUGUACUUUGAGCUGCUGCUUGCUGCCCUGUGUUGCAUUGCUGAGGCCUAGCCAGCCUCAGUUCCGGAUUCAGCUGAGACUAUUUAAUCAGCAGGAUGAUCAAUAGGCCAAAGUUUCCACCAUAACUGCAAACUUGAAUACAGAUGAAUGGAUUACAACGUGUUCAAGCCUUUCAAUGACAGGCAUUGUAAUGUAUGGUGGUGUAAUUGAUAGUGAUUAUUGGCCUAAAUGCUACUAAUCUAGUGGCCUAAAUGCUCCACUUAAAAGACACAAAAUGGCAGAAUGGAUAAGAGUUUACCAGACC
rnacentral:lncRNA from 1 species